rnacentral:ncRNA from 1 species
ACAACAAGUUAUCGGUGACAAAUUCCCGUGAGGAAAAGUCUGGUUUGUGCUAGGCUAGCCGAAUAACUGACC